rnacentral:rRNA from 1 species
GGGGGGGCAAGCGUUGUUCGGAAUUACUGGGCGUAAAGGGCUCGUAGGUGGCCAACUAAGUCGGACGUGAAAUCCCUCGGCUUAACCGGGGAACUGCGUCCGAUACUGGUUGGCUUGAGUUUGGGAGAGGGAUGCGGAAUUCCAGGUGUAGCGGUGAAAUGCGUAGAUAUCUGGAGGAACACCGGUGGCGAAGGCGGCAUCCUGGACCAAUACUGGCGCUGAGGAGCGAAAGCCAGGGGAGCAAACGGGAUUAGAUACCCCGGUAGUCCUGGCCCUAAACGAUGAAUGCUUGGUGUGGCGGGUAUCGAUCCCUGCCGUGCCGAAGCUAACGCAUUAAGCAUUCCGCCUGGGGAGUACGGUCGCAAGGCUG